rnacentral:rRNA from 1 species
CGUGGAAACACCUGUCCCCAUACGAUCACCGAAGUUAAACAACGUCGAACCUGGUUAGUAUCUAUAUGGGUGACCGCUUGGCAAUGUCAGGUACUGUAAG